GUCUAUAGCUCAGCUGGUUAGAGCGCACGCCUGAUAAGCGUGAGGUCGGUGGUUCGAGUCCACUUAGACC
rnacentral:tRNA from 3 species